UGGGGAAUCUUGCACAAUGGAGGGAACUCUGAUGCAGCGACGCCGCGUGAGUGAAGAAGUAUUUCGGUAUGUAAAGCUCUAUCAGUAGGGAAGAUAAUGACGGUACCUACAUAAGAAGCCCUGGCUAAAUACGUGCCAGCAGCCGCGGUAAUACGUAUGGGGCGAGCGUUGUCCGGAAUUAUUGGGCGUAAAGGGUACGUAGGCGGUCUAUUAAGUCAGGUGUGAAAGCGUGAGGCUUAACCUCAUUAAGCACUUGAAACUGGUAGGCUUGAGUAGAGGAGAGGAAAGUGGAAUUCCUAGUGUGGCGGUGAAAUGCGUAGAUAUUAGGAGGAAUACCGGUGGCGAAAGGGACUUUCUGGACUUUUACUGACGCUCAGGUACGAAAGCGUGGGGAGCAAACGGG
rnacentral:rRNA from 1 species